ACCUGACUGGCUCAGUCGGUGAAGCAUGUGACUCUUGAUCGCAGGAUCAUGAGUACAAGCCCCAUGUUGAGUG
rnacentral:tRNA from 1 species